UACGUAGGGGGCAAGCGUUGUCCGGAUUCAUUGGGCGUAAAGAGCUCGUAGGCGGCUUGGCAAGUCGGGUGUGAAACCUCCAGGCUCAACCUGGAGACGCCACCCGAUACUGCCAUGGCUAGAGUCCGGUAGGGGACCACGGAAUUCCUGGUGUAGCGGUGAAAUGCGCAGAUAUCAGGAGGAACACCGGUGGCGAAGGCGGUGGUCUGGGCUGGCACUGACGCUGAGGAGCGAAAGCGUGGGGAGCGAACAGG
rnacentral:rRNA from 1 species